AUUGAACGCUGGCGGCAGGCCUAACACAUGCAAGUCGAGCGGCAGCGGGAAAGUAGCUUGCUACUUUUGCCGGCGAGCGGCGGACGGGUGAGUAAUGCCUGGGAAAUUGCCCAGUCGAGGGGGAUAACAGUUGGAAACGACUGCUAAUACCGCAUACGCCCUACGGGGGAAAGCAGGGAACCUUCGGGCCUUGCGCGAUUGGAUAUGCCCAGGUGGGAUUAGCUAGUUGGUGAGGUAAUGGCUCACCAAGGCGACGAUCCCUAGCUGGUCUGAGAGGAUGAUCAGCCGAACUGGAACGGAGACACGGUCAAGACUCCUGCGGGAGGCAGCAGUGGGGAAUAUUGCACAAUGGGGAAACCCUGAUGCAGCCAUGCCGCGGGUGUGAAGAAGGCCUUCGGGUUGUAAAGCACUUUCAGCGAGGAGGAAAGGUCAGUAGCUAAUAUCUGCUGACUGUGACGUUACUCGCAGAAGAAGCACCGGCUAACUCCGUGCCAGCAGCCGCCGUAAUAC
rnacentral:rRNA from 1 species